rnacentral:siRNA from 1 species
UUCAGUGCGCUGCAUCACAUU